CGACCGGCGCACGGGUGAGUAACACGUAUGGAACCUGCCCUAUGCAGGGGGAUAAGCGGAAGAAAUUCCGUCUAAUACCGCAUAACACCUUUAGGAGACAUCUUCUUGGGGUCAAGGGAGGCGACUCCGGCAUAGGAUGGCCAUGCGUCGCAUUAGCUAGUCGGCGGGGUAACGGCCCACCGAGGCGACGAUGCGUAGGGGUUCUGAGAGGAAGGUCCCCCACACUGGUACUGAGACACGGACCAGACUCCUACGGGAGGCAGCAG
rnacentral:rRNA from 1 species